rnacentral:ncRNA from 1 species
GAAAAGGUUGGGAAGAAGAGGAGUACAUCGAACACCCUGUCAGAGAGAACCGUCCAUCGGCUGGAAGGCGGUUUGAGGAAGUGGAGAUGGAAGGUAGCUUCGGAACCGGGAUGGGGAAAUGGCGGAAACACCGCCACACAGUAGUCAUCCACGCCUCGUCAGCGUUAUGGGACGGUAGAGAUGUACGGGAAACUGUUUUUACAGAAAGCAGAUUCAUAUUCCGUAUAACCAAAGGUGGUACCGCGUAAUCACGCCCUUUGC